AGAUUGAACGCUGGCGGCAUGCCUAACACAUGCAAGUCGAACGGGAGUAGCAAUACUCUAGUGGCGGACGGGUGAGGAAUACGUAGGAAUUUGCCCUUAAGUGGGGGAUAACCCGGGGAAACCCGGAUUAAUACCGCAUGACCUCGAAAGAGCAAAGUGGGGGAUCGCAAGACCUCACGCUUUUGGAGAAGCCUACGUCGGAUUAGCUAGUUGGUGAGGUAAUGGCUCACCAAGGCGACGAUCCGUAACUGGUCUGAGAGGAUGAUCAGUCACACCGGAACUGAGACACGGUCCGGACUCCUACGGGAGGCAGCAGUGGGGAAUAUUGGACAAUGGGCGCAAGCCUGAUCCAGCAAUGCCGCGUGUGUGAAGAAGGCCUUCGGGUUGUAAAGCACUUUAAGUUAGGAAAGAAAACUACGCUACGUAACACAGUAGAGUCUUGACGGUACGACAGAAUAACGCACCGCUAACUCUGUCGCCAGCCAGCCGAC
rnacentral:rRNA from 1 species